UCUCUUUCUCUCUGCGAGUGAAAGACGGAUCACAUUUGUCACUCUCUCUCAGAACCCCCCGCCCUCUGUCAAUCCUAAAUCGACCUCCAUCAAUACCUCAAAACCCUAAAUUGACCUCUACCAUACCUCAAUAUCGACUUCCACUGCAACUACUCAUGUUUAAAACCCUAGCCUAUUGAUGCCCGAAACUCUCAAUCAACCCUAAAGCCCUUCAAAUUUCUACCUUAGAAAUCACAUACCCAGUGAUUUGUGGCCCUAAAACUCUUAGAAAUCACAUACCCUGAUUUUAGGAGGUUGGCAGGAAGUGCGGUUUAUUUGUAAAAUUUGAGUUCACCCACAGAGCUGAUUUCGUUUCAGAUCUUCACUUUGCGGUUUGCGGUUUCUGGUGGAGUUUUGGCUCCUUCAAUUAGGAUUAUCAUUCUCUCAAGCAUAUCUAACUCAAGGGGUAAUUUGGUUAGGUGCUUUGAUGCUCUUGUCCAUAACUCAUUCAUGUGCUAUAGAACUAAAGGUUUAUCUUAUAUACUUUUUAUGAUAGUUAUUCGUGUGGAUUAAAAAAACAUGCUUUGCUUUUUAAUCAGUUUGAAUAGUCAAAGUGUGGAACCACCAUUCCAGUUAAUAUGGUCUUUUGUAUUGCCAGUAAAAGCUAUGCCAUUAUUUUUAUAUAUAUGCUACCCUGCAGUUCGUUGAGUGUCCAUUUUGAUAUGUUACAUGUGUGCAUGUUGUGGUUUCCGAUC